rnacentral:rRNA from 1 species
GAGUUUGAUCGUGGCUCAGGACGAACGCUGGCGGCGUGCCUAAUACAUGCAAGUCGAGCGGAUCUUCAUUAGCUUGCUUUUGAAGAUCAGCGGCGGACGGGUGAGUAACACGUGGGCAACCUGCCUGUAAGACUGGGAUAACUUCGGGAAACCGGAGCUAAUACCGGAUAAUCCUUUUCCUCUCAUGAGGAAAAGCUGAAAGACGGUUUCGGCUGUCACUUACAGAUGGGCCCGCGGCGCAUUAGCUAGUUGGUGAGGUAACGGCUCACCAAGGCGACGAUGCGUAGCCGACCUGAGAGGGUGAUCGGCCACACUGGGACUGAGACACGGCCCAGACUCCUACGGGAGGCAGCAGUAGGGAAUCUUCCGCAAUGGACGAAAGUCUGACGGAGCAACGCCGCGUGAGCGAUGAAGGCC